rnacentral:rRNA from 1 species
GACGAACGCUGGCGGCGUGCCUAAUACAUGCAAGUAGAACGCUGAAGGAGGAGCUUGCUCUUCUGGAUGAGUUGCGAACGGGUGAGUAACGCGUAGGUAACCUGCCUGGUAGCGGGGGAUAACCAUUGGAAACGAUAGCUAAUACCGCAUAAGAGUAGAUGUCGCAUGACAUUUGCUUAAAAGGUGCAAUUGCAUCACUACCAGAUGGACCUGCGUUGUAUUAGCUAGUUGGUGAGGUAACGGCUCACCAAGGCAACGAUACAUAGCCGACCUGAGAGGGUGAUCGGCCACACUGGGACUGAGACACGGCCCAGACUCCUACGGGAGGCAGCAGUAGGGAAUCUUCGGCAAUGGACGGAAGUCUGACCGAGCAACGCCGCGUGAGUGAAGAAAGGGUUUUUCGGAUCGUAAAGCUUCUGUUGUAAAGAGAAAG